UUAUUUAUUUUAUUAUAUUUAUUUUUUGUUUAUUUAAUUAUUUAAUAGAAAUAAUUUUAUUGAAUUUUGUCUUARUAUAUUUUGUAGAAUUGAUUUUUUAAAUUAUAGUUUAUUGGUAAUGUAAUUGUUUUAUGAAAUAUUAUUUUAAAUUUUUAAAAGUAUAUUUUAUUUAUUGUACCCUUUUGUAUCAGGGUUUAUCAAAUUUUAGUAUUUAAUUUACUUGKCUCAUUUGGGKUGAUUUAUAAAUAAUUUAMGUUAAUGKAUCAUAAUUAUUAUUAAAUUAUUUAUUGAAAUGAAAUGUUAAUGGUUUCCMAGAUAUCUAGUUUCUUAAGAAAAAUUUUAAUUUUUUAAAGKUAAKUGKUUUUAUUUAAUUUUUUAAUUAUAAAUAUUAACUUAUUUAUUCUUUAAGGGA
rnacentral:rRNA from 1 species